rnacentral:rRNA from 1 species
CCUACGGGGGGCUGCAGUGGGGAAUUGUUCGCAAUGGGCGCAAGCCUGACGACGCAACGCCGCGUGGAGGAUGAAGAUCUUCGGGUCGUAAACUCCUUUCGAUCGAGACGAAUUCCGGGGUGAACAAUCCCGAAGGUUGACGGUACCGAGAGAAGAAGCCCCGGCUAACUCCGUGCCAGCAGCCGCGGUAAUACGGGGGGGGCAAGCGUUGUUCGGAAUUACUGGGCGUAAAGGGCUCGUAGGCGGCCAACUAAGUCAGACGUGAAAUCCCUCGGCUUAACCGGGGAACUGCGUCUGAUACUGGAUGGCUUGAGUUUGGGAGAGGGAUGCGGAAUUCCAGGUGUAGCGGUGAAAUGCGUAGAUAUCUGGAGGAACACCGGUGGCGAAGGCGGCAUCCUGGACCGACAUUGACGCUGAGGAGCGAAAGCCAGGGGAGCAAACGGGAUUAGAUACCCUAGUAGUCC